rnacentral:rRNA from 1 species
UACAGAGGUCUCAAGCGUUGUUCGGAUUCAUUGGGCGUAAAGGGUGCGUAGGCGGCGCCGUAAGUCGGGUGUGAAAUCUCGGAGCUUAACUCCGAAAUUGCACCGGAUACUGCGUUGCUCGAGGACUGUAGAGGAGAUCGGAAUUCACGGUGUAGCAGUGAAAUGCGUAGAUAUCGUGAGGAAGACCAGUUGCGAAGGCGGAUCUCUGGGCAGUUCCUGACACUGAGGCACGAAGGCCAGGGGAGCAAACGGG